rnacentral:rRNA from 1 species
AUCGAACGCUGGCGGCAUGCCUAACACAUGCAAGUCGAACGAGUGGCGGACGGGUGAGUAAGUUCUGGGCAACUGGCUGAUGGAGGCGGCUAACUACUGGAACCGGUAGCUACUAUCGCUUACGGUCAGUUGUGCCCAGGUUGGAUUAUCUAGUGGGGGGGGUAACGGCUCACCAAGGCGACGAUCCCUAGCUGGUCUGAGAGGAUGACCAGCCACACUGGAACUGAGACACGGUCCAGACUCCUACGGGAGGCAGCAGUGGGGAAUAUUGCACAAUGGGCGCAAGCCUGAUGGAGCCAUGCCGCGUGUAUGAAGAAGGCUUUCGGGUUGUAAAGUACUUUCAGCGGGGAGGCGGUACCCAAAGAAGAAGCACCGGCUAACUCCGUGCCAGCAGCCGCGGUAAUAC